GAUGAACGCUGGCGGCGUGCCUAAUACAUGCAAGUCGAGCGAACAGACGAGGAGCUUGCUCCUCUGACGUUAGCGGCGGACGGGUGAGUAACACGUGGAUAACCUACCUAUAAGACUGGGAUAACUUCGGGAAACCGGAGCUAAUACCGGAUAAUAUAUUGAACCGCAUGGUUCAAUAGUGAAAGACGGUUUUGCUGUCACUUAUAGAUGGAUCCGCGCCGCAUUAGCUAGUUGGUAAGGUAACGGCUUACCAAGGCAACGAUGCGUAGCCGACCUGAGAGGGUGAUCGGCCACACUGGAACUGAGACACGGUCCAGACUCCUACGGGAGGCAGCAGUAGGGAGUCUUCCGCAAUGGGCGAAAGCCUGACGGAGCAACGCCGCGCGAGUGAUGAAGGUCUUCGGAUCGUAAAACUCUGUUAUUAGGGAAGAACAAAUGUGUAAGUAACUAUGCACGUCUUGACGGUACCUAAUCAGAAAGCCACGGCUAACUACGUG
rnacentral:rRNA from 1 species